GACGAACCUCCGCCGACGAACA
rnacentral:siRNA from 1 species